UUGUGAGAAACAAAUGUGUGGUAUUGUUGAUAAGCAAGAAGAAGUAAUUUGAUACUUUCUGUAAAAGAGUUUGAUGACGAAGUUUAUGCGGAUCAAUGGUAGAACCAACUCCUUUGUAGCAAAUCAUUUAUCCGAGUCUCUACAAUGCUUGGCUAGCACAUUAUGACGUUGGAGAAGUGGCCAACCUUCAGAAUCCUGGGAGGCUCAUAAGGCAGCAAUCCAAGCACUCAUAAAGCUGCCUUCAGGCGAGCUUGUUACAGGUUCAAGUGAUACAACUUUAAAACUUUGGAGAGGAAGCAAAUGUACACAUACUUUUGUUGGGCAUACAGAUCAAAUAUAGGCUGAUGCACUUGUUCUGAGGGGGAUCAGUUGCACAUUUGAGGAAGGGCACAAAAUACGUAUUGUUGGCAGAAUUGGCAGUGGCAAGACCACUCUCAUAGAGA